rnacentral:rRNA from 1 species
UACGGAGGAUGCAAGCGUUAUCCGGAAUGAUUGGGCGUAAAGCGUCCGCAGGUGGCAAUGUAAGUCUGCUGUUAAAGAGCCUAGCUCAACUAGAUAAAAGCAGUGGAAACUACAUAGCUAGAGUACGUUCGGGGCAGAGGGAAUUCCUGGUGUAGCGGUGAAAUGCGUAGAGAUCAGGAAGAACACCGGUGGCGAAGGCGCUCUGCUAGGCCGUAACUGACACUGAGGGACGAAAGCUAGGGGAGCGAAUGGG